UACGGAAGGCAGCAGUGGGGAAUAUUGCACAAUGGGCGCAAGCCUGAUGCAGCCAUGCCGCGUGUAUGAAGAAGGCCUUCGGGUUGUAAAGUACUUUCAGUCGUGAGGAAGGUGUUAAGGUUAAUAACCUUAGCAAUUGACGUUAGCGACAGAAGAAGCACCGGCUAACUCCGUGCCAGCAGCCGCGGUAAUACGGAGGGUGCGAGCGUUAAUCGGAAUUACUGGGCGUAAAGGGCACGCAGGCGGUUAAUUAAGUUGGAUGUGAAAUCCCCGGGCUUAACCUGGGAAUGGCAUUCAAGACUGGUUAGCUAGAGUCUUGUAGAGGGGGUAGAAUUCCGAUGUGUAGCGGUGAAAUGCGUAGAGAUGUGGAGGAAUACCGGUGGCGAAGGCGGCCCCUGGACAAAGGCUGACGCUCAUGUGCGAAAGCGUGGGGAGCGAAAC
rnacentral:rRNA from 1 species